CUACGGGAGGCAGCAGUAGGGAAUUUUCCACAAUGGACGAAAGUCUGAUGGAGCAACGCCGCGUGCAGGAUGAAGGCCUUCGGGUCGUAAACUGCUUUUAUGUGCGAGGAUUAUGACAGUAACACAUGAAUAAGGGUCGGCUAACUACGUGCCAGCAGCCGCGGUCAUACGUAGGACCCAAGCGUUAUCCGGAAUUACUGGGCGUAAAGAGUUGCGUAGGUGGCAGAGUAAGUAAGAUGUGAAAGCGUGCGGCUCAACCGUAUAGACAUAUCUUAAACUGCUCAGCUAGAGAAUGAGAGAGGUAGAUGGAAUUUCCAGUGUAGGAGUAAAAUCCGUAGAUAUUGGUAGGAACACCGAUGGCGUAGGCAGUCUACUGGCUCAUUUCUGACACUAAGGCACGAAAGCGUGGGGAGCAAACAGGAUUAGAAACCCCUGUAGUCC
rnacentral:rRNA from 1 species